AACGAACGCUGGCGGCAUGCCUAAUACAUGCAAGUCGAACGAUCACUUCGGUGGUAGUGGCGCACGGGUGCGUAACGCGUGGGAAUCUGCCCUUGGGUUCGGAAUAACGUUUGGAAACGAACGCUAAUACCGGAUGAUGACGAAAGUCCAAAGAUUUAUCGCCCAAGGAUGAGCCCGCGUAGGAUUAGCUAGUUGGUAAGGUAAAGGCUUACCAAGGCGACGAUCCUUAGCUGGUCUGAGAGGAUGAUCAGCCACACUGGGACUGAGACACGGCCCAGACUCCUACGGGAGGCAGCAGUAGGGAAUAUUGGACAAUGGGGGCAACCCUGAUCCAGCAAUGCCGCGUGAAUGAUGAAGGCCUUAGGGUUGUAGAGCUCUUUUACCCGGGAUGAUAAUGACAGUACCGGGAGAAUAAGCCCCGGCUAACUCCGUGCCAGCCGCCGCAGUAACAC
rnacentral:rRNA from 1 species